AGCGAACGCUGGCGGCAGGCCUAACACAUGCAAGUCGAACGAACUCUUCGGAGUUAGUGGCGGACGGGUGAGUAACACGUGGGAACGUGCCUUUUGGUUCGGAAUAACUCAGGGAAACUUGUGCUAAUACCGAAUGUGCCCUUCGGGGGAAAGAUUUAUCGCCAUUAGAGCGGCCCGCGUCUGAUUAGCUAGUUGGUGAGGUAACGGCUCACCAAGGCGACGAUCAGUAGCUGGUCUGAGAGGAUGACCAGCCACACUGGGACUGAGACACGGCCCAGACUCCUACGGGAGGCAGCAGUGGGGAAUCUUGCGCAAUGGGCGGAAGCCUGACGCAGCCAUGCCGCGUGAAUGAUGAAGGUCUUAGGAUUGUAAAAUUCUUUCACCGGGGACGAUAAUGACGGUACCCGGAGAAGAAGCCCCGGCUAACUUCGUG
rnacentral:rRNA from 1 species